UGAAUAAUAUCCAUUUGAUUAGUCGGAAAAGAUGAGCUUAUAAGAAAAGUGAUCCUUUUCCCUCAACACCAAUCCCAAAACAAGGAAGAGAUCUUUUUCAAUUUGGUCUUAUUUUGAGGGAUUUAUCAUGGAAUCUUCUACAUGAGUUUGGAUAUGAUAUUUAAAUUCUUCAUUUGAAAAAUGUAGUUUCUAUUCACAUUGUAUGUGAUUAUUUUGCAACUAAAAUAACCCUAAAUCUGGGGCAAAUUGUUUGUAAUAUAU
rnacentral:lncRNA from 1 species